rnacentral:tRNA from 1 species
CGGGAUGUGGCUCAGUUGGUAGAGCGCUACGUUAGGGACGUAGAGGUCGCCCGUUCGAACCGGGUCAUUCCGA